AUGGCAGUAUCCGCUGGAGGCCCAGAAACGUAACAACAAAGCCUGGAUGACAGCACGUCUGUUUAUAGCAUGAUUUACAGAAUAUUUUAAGCCCACAGUGGGGACCUGCUGCUCAGGAAAAAAAAGAUUUCUUUCAAGAUAUUACUGUUCAUUGACAAGGCACCUGGUCACCCAAGAGCUCUGAUGGAGAUGUGCAAAGAGAUUGAUGUUGUUUUCCUGCAUGCUUGCAUCUAUUCUGCAGCCCAUGGAUCAAAGGCAAUCCCUUUUCUGGGCACAUACCCAAAGGAAAUGAAAUCACCACUUUGUAAAGAUAUCUGCACUCCCAUGUUCAUUGCAGCAUUAUUUACAGUAGCCAAGGAUCUUGGAGUGAAAAUAUACUGGAAUAUUUUCUGAGAAAUAGGCAGAUUACAGCAGAAGACGGCGCUGAGAUCACCUGGUAUCAUGCAGCUAACCACAAGGCACAAACGAAUGAGGCACUGAAAAGUACUGCUCACAUGAUAGAGGCUGAUGUCCUUCUUCCAAGUGAUGGAUCAGAACACAG
rnacentral:sRNA from 1 species